rnacentral:rRNA from 1 species
AUUGAACGCUGGCGGCAUGCCUUACACAUGCAAGUCGAACGGUAACGCGGGGCAACCUGGCGACGAGUGGCGAACGGGUGAGUAACGCAUCGGAACGUGCCCAGUAGUGGGGGAUAGCCCGGCGAAAGCCGGAUUAAUACCGCACACGACCUAAGGGUGAAAGCGGGGGAUCGCAAGACCUCGCGCUAUUGGAGCGGCCGAUGUCAGAUUAGGUAGUUGGUGGGGUAAAGGCCUACCAAGCCGACGAUCUGUAGCUGGUCUGAGAGGACGACCAGCCACACUGGGACUGAGACACGGCCCAGACUCCUACGGGAGGCAGCAGUGGGGAAUUUUGGACAAUGGGCGCAAGCCUGAUCCAGCCAUGCCGCGUGCGGGAAGAAGGCCUUCGGGUUGUAAACCGCUUUUGUCAGGGAAGAAAAGGCUCGAACUAAUACUUUGGGCUCAUGACGGUACCUGAAGAAUAAGCACCGGCUAACUACGUGCCAGCCGCCGCCGUAAGAC